GGGGGGGGGGCAAGCGUUGUUCGGAAUUACUGGGCGUAAAGGGCGCGUAGGCGGGUCCCGCAAGUCCUUCGUGAAAUCCCACAGCUCAACUGUGGAACUGCGAGGGAAACUGCAGGACUUGAGUCCGGGAGAGGAGAGUGGAAUUCCCAGUGUAGCGGUGAAAUGCGUAGAUAUUGGGAGGAACACCGGUGGCGAAGGCGGCUCUCUGGACCGGUACUGACGCUGAGGCGCGAAAGCUAGGGGAGCAAACGGGAUUAGAUACCCCGGUAGUCCUAGCCUUAAACGAUGAGCACUUGGUGUGGCGGGUAUCGACCCCUGCCGUGCCGAAGCUAACGCAUUAAGUGCUCCGCCUGGGGAGUACGGUCGCAAGGCUG
rnacentral:rRNA from 1 species